rnacentral:tRNA from 1 species
GCCCUUUUAGCUCAGUUGGCCAGAGCGGCUCAUUUGUAACGAGCGGGUCGGGAGUUCGAAUCUCUCAAGGGGCU